ACUGGCCGCGGCUCGUGUCCGGGCUUCGGGAGCUCCUGGUUCCUUGCUCUAUUGGGCUGUGGCUGAGGUGAUCCGCGCUCAGUGUGGACGCACAACUGUAUUUUGGGGCGAUAUUGCCUUAGAUGAUGAAGACUUAAAUAUCUUUCAAAUAGAUAGGACAAUUGACCUUACGCAGAACCCCUUUGGAAACCUUGGACAUACCACAGGUGGACUUGGAGACCAUGCUAUGUCAAAGAAGCGAGGGGCCCUCUACCAACUUAUAGACAGGAUAAGAAGAAUUGGCUUUGGCUUGGAGCAAAACAACACAGUUAAGGGAAAAGUACCUCUACAAUUCUCAGGGCAAAAUGAGAAAAAUCGAGUUCCCAGAGCCGCUACAUCAAGAACGGAAAGAAUAUGGCCUGGAGGCGUUAUUCCUUAUGUUAUAGGAGGAAACUUCACUGGCAGCCAGAGAGCCAUGUUCAAGCAGGCCAUGAGGCACUGGGAAAAGCACACAUGUGUGACUUUCAUAGAAAGAAGUGAUGAAGAGAGUUACAUUGUAUUCACCUAUAGGCCUUGUGG
rnacentral:lncRNA from 1 species